GACGAACGCUGGCGGCGUGCUUAACACAUGCAAGUCGAACGGAAAGGCCUCUUUCGGGUGGUGCUCGAGUGGCGAACGGGUGAGUAACACGUGAGUAACCUGCCCUUGACUUUGGGAUAACUUUAGGAAACUGUGGCUAAUAUCGGAUAGAGGCUCCUGCUGCAUGGUGGGGGGUGGAAAGUUUCGGCGGGUGGGGGUGGGAUCGCGGCGUAUCAGCUUUUUGGGGGGGGAGUGGCGUAUCAAGGGCUUGUCGGGUGUCCGGCCCGGGAGGGGGAACGGCCACCAUUGGAACGGAAUAAGGCCCAGACCUCCAAGGGGGGGAGCCGGGGGGAAUAUUGAAAAAAGGGUGGGAACCCGAUGGAGCAAAGCCGUGGGCGGGAUGAAGGCCUUCGGGUUGGAAACCGCCUUCGCUCAUGACGAAGCUUUGUGUGACGGUAGUGGGUAAAGAAGCACCGGCUAACUACGUG
rnacentral:rRNA from 1 species